UUUUGGAGUUGCACUAUUGCCAGUUUAUUGCUUUGCCAAACCUUACCUCCUUAUGAAGUUGUUGAAUGCCAAUUAGGAAAAAAUGAAUCUUCUAUAUUUUACACCAAGAUAUGAUCAAUAGAUAGUUGUCUUCCUUUCUAAUGCAAUAGUUACUGCAACUCUGAAUAUCAUGGCCAGAGGCGGACCUACAGAGGCGCAAGGAGGUGCAGUUGCACCUCCCCUUGUCGAAAAUCCUGUGAAGAGGCUGGAUUAUGCACCUCUGCUGAUCCCAAGAUUCUGCAUCUAAGGUGUGUUGCAAGGGGUUUCAAAAUGAGGAAGAUGACUUGGGUUUUUUGUUUUCAAUAUUUUGAUGCACAAACGACGUCGUCUUUGUUAUCCUCCAGCUCAAAAGGCGUUUAAUGAAACGGGGAGUAUUGAUUGAAGCAAUUCUGACUUUCGGCAAAUUACCAC
rnacentral:lncRNA from 1 species